GACGAACGCUGGCGGCGUGCCUAUACAUGCAAGUAGAACGCUGAAGAGAGGAGCUUGCUCUUCUUGGAUGAGUUGCGAACGGGUGAGUAACGCGUAGGUAACCUGCCUGGUAGCGGGGGAUAACUAUUGGAAACGAUAGCUAAUACCGCAUGACAUUGAUUAUCGCAUGAUAAUUGAUUGAAAGAUGCAAUUGCAUCACUACCAGAUGGACCUGCGUUGUAUUAGCUAGUUGGUGAGGUAACGGCUCACCAAGGCGACGAUACAUAGCCGACCUGAGAGGGUGAUCGGCCACACUGGGACUGAGACACGGCCCAGACUCCUACGGGAGGCAGCAGUAGGGAAUCUUCGGCAAUGGGGGGAACCCUGACCGAGCAACGCCGCGUGAGUGAAGAAGGUUUUCGGAUCGUAAAGCUCUGUUGUAAGAGAAGAACGGGUGUGAGAGUGGAAAGUUCACACUGUGACG
rnacentral:rRNA from 1 species